CCUACGGGCGGCAGCAGUGGGGAAUAUUGGACAAUGGGCGAAAGCCUGAUCCAGCCAUGCCGCGUGUGUGAAGAAGGCCUUCGGGUUGUAAAGCACUUUCAGUGGGGAAGAAAGCCUUGGGGCUAAUACCCUCGAGGAAGGACAUCACCCACAGAAGAAGCACCGGCUAACUCCGUGCCAGCAGCCGCGGUAAUACGGAGGGUGCGAGCGUUAAUCGGAAUUACUGGGCGUAAAGCGCGCGUAGGCGGUCUGAUAAGCCGGUUGUGAAAGCCCCGGGCUCAACCUGGGAACGGCAUCCGGAACUGUCAGGCUAGAGGGCAGGAGAGGAAGGUAGAAUUCCCGGUGUAGCGGUGAAAUGCGUAGAGAUCGGGAGGAAUACCAGUGGCGAAGGCGGCCUUCUGGACUGACACUGACGCUGAGGUGCGAAAGCGUGGGUAGCAAACAGGAUUAGAUACCCGAGUAGUC
rnacentral:rRNA from 1 species